AACACUUUACCAAUCAGUACUGGAGUCAGGAAGGGUGCAGGUCGACACUCGGGGAAACAAAGUGGGAACAAGAAAUGAAGGCAAGAAGGAAGACUUCUGGAAGAAGAACCUGACCUGAGCUUCGAGGAAUGAGUAGUUAUUUUGGUUCCCCCACAAACACCAUAACAUCAAGAGAUGGGGAGGAAUGGAGCGCCCUGUGAAUCUCAUGAAGAAACUUUCCUGGUUUGUAUUUGCGGGCCAGUCAACUGCAGCCGCCAGAUCAGAGGGACAAGGGAGGAUUAUCGGACCAGCUGGUCAAAGCACACCACAGGCUGCUCUCCAGUUCCAAAAGGGAGGUUCUGUGACUUGAGGAAGGAUGAAACCAUCGGAGUGUGAGUUCCUUCCGCCACAGACUCCACUGACUCAAGCUUCUCCAAGAUGAGGGCUGUCUAUCCACUCCACUCUCCCUCCAGGCCCACCUCUUGACCUGCAUUGCCCAGCGCAGGGGAAGCAGCUGUCCUGCUUCGUUCUUGAAUUUACCAUUUAAGGACUAGGGGCCCCUUCGGUGUGUUUGUUUGCACACGCUUUAAAUUGAUUGCUAUGUCUGGUAAAUCUAGAACAAGAGCAGAAUGCUAGCAAGGGCAGAGGUGACGGGAUUGAGUGAGACAAUUUAAUACCCAGCACCACACUUGCGUAACACGUUUUAAUUAUUAACAUGGUAGGUAUCUGAUGCUGGGCAUUAUUUUGAGCUGCUCGUAUGUUAAAUGCUUCAUAGGUGUUCCUUACAUUGAGCUCUAAAUCCCCGCUGAGCGUCUUCACCUCUCUGUAACCUCACCCCCUCCUUGCCAGGACUUCCAGUAUGCAACCAAGAUAAAAAUGA